rnacentral:ncRNA from 1 species
GCCCUAUGCGUGUCACUUGUGACUGUGUAGAGGUUGAGCAGUAGGCAAGCGACCCGAAAGAUGGUGAACUAUGCCUGAGCAGGAUGAAGCCAGAGGAAACUCUGGUGGAAGUCCGUAUCGGUUCUGACGUGCAAAUCGAUCGAUAGACUUGGGUAUAGGGGCGAAAGACUAAUCGAACCAUCUAGUAGCUGGUUCCUUCCGAAGUUUCCCUCAGGAUAGCUGGAACUCUUGCAGUUAUAUUCGGUAAAGCUAAUGAUUAGAGGCCUUGGGGACGUAAUGUCCUCAACCUAUUCUCAAACUUUCAAUGGAUAUGGCGUCGCAGUUUCUUUAGUGAACUGCGGCGUGAAUGCGAGUUCCAAGUGGGCCAUUUUUGGUAAGCAGAACUGGCGCUGUGGGAUGAACCAAACGUGGAGUUAAGGUGCCUAACUUCUCGCUUAUGAGACCCCAUAAAAGGUGUUGGUUGAUAUUGACAGCAGGACGGUGGCCAUGGAAGUCGGUACCCGCUAAGGAGUGUGUAACAACUCACCUGCCGAAUCAACUAGCCCUGAAAAUGGAUGGCGCUUAAGCGAGAGACCUAUACUCCGCCGUCGCGGCAUGUGCGUUGUCUAGCGCCAGGUCGCGACGAGUAGGAAGGACGUGGCGGUUGCGUUGAAGGCUAUGAGCGUAGGCUCGGCUGGAGCUUCCGUCAGUGCAGAUCGUAAUGGUAGUAGCAAAUAUUCAAGUUCGAUCCUUGAAGACUGAAGUGGAGAAGGGUUCCACGUGAACAGUAGUUGGAUGUGGGUCAGUCGAUCCUAAGGUACUGGCGAAAGCCUUGUAUCAUCGGUGGCGAAAAGCUUGCUUUUUGUCCCCGCCCGUCGAAAGGGAAUAGGGUUAAUAUUCCCUAACUGAGAUGCAAAGAUUGUGUUCUUUCGGAGCACAAGCGCGGUAACGCGUUCGAACUUGGUAAGUCGCUCAGAGACCGAGCUAGAGUUUUCUUCUCUAGUUAAGGAACGGACUCCCUGGAAUUGGUUCAGCCAGAGAUGGGGACGUUGUUUCCGAAAAG